rnacentral:rRNA from 1 species
UACGUAGGGCGCAAGCGUUGUCCGGAAUUAUUGGGCGUAAAGAGCUCGUAGGCGGUUCGGUAAGUCUGCUGUGAAAGUCCAGGGCUCAACCCUGGGAUGCCGGUGGAUACUGUCGGACUAGAGUACGGAAGAGGCGAGUGGAAUUCCCGGUGUAGCGGUGAAAUGCGCAGAUAUCGGGAGGAACACCAAUUGCGAAGGCAGCUCGCUGGGACGUCACUGACGCUGAGACGCGAAAGCGUGGGGAGCGAACAGG